CAAACCCUCUGCUCUUUAGAUUUGGCUUGUACAGGAGGGGCUGGACAGGAUUCAAGCAGGGGCUGGAUUAGACACUAGACUAAAUACUGCUUCAGCUGGAGCCGCCUGGAUCCCUUUGACUUAAGAAGUGGGCUGGCAGCAAGGUUCCCGCUAAGGUGCGCGCGUGCGCGGCGGCGGCGCACAACUGAGAGCGCGGGCGCGCGCAGCCUGUUCAAGGCAGCGAGUGCUGCGGCCCCCGCAUCAGGACCGGGCGCGCCAGCCCCCAUCCCUGCCUUAAUUCACCUCGGGGAGGAGCCGCCGCCUGCCCCGAGUGAGGCUCCGCCGGCUCCGGGACACUGCUCCGCUCCGCCGCAUCGCCUCGGGGAGCAAGAAGGCACGUGGCGUGAGGGCCGGGGAGCGGAGCAGUGUCCCGGAGCCGGCGGAGCCUCCCCGAGGUGCGGCGAGGCAGGGAUGGAGGCUGGCGCGGGCUCCGUCGGCUGUAGGAAAGUGCUGUGCUCCCCGGCCCUGAUGUGGGGGAGCGUAGGUCUUCCCCGCAGCCGACGGAGCCCGCGCCAGGCCUCAGCCACCGGCCCCUGGCUCCAGGCCGUGGCCCCAGCUCCAGCCCUGGCCUCCGCCCCUCCGCCCCCUUCGGUAAGUGUCCCACGCCGGACCGAGGCGGCGCGCUCACGGACCGAGGGAGCAUUGGCUGGCAGGGCAUUUUCUAAAGACCCUAAUUCAGCAAAGCAAGUGAAGCAGGAGGUGUUUAAAGUGCUUUACUGAAUUGGAGCUCCAAUGAGAAAAGAAGAUGUAGCUGAGCCCAUUGUCAGCUAACAAGAGUGGAAGAUGAAGGGCCUGAUUUUGGUAAGUUGGUGCCUUUUUAUUUAGCCCUACUUUAUCUCUGAGUGCUAUUUGGAUAAGUUAUUACUUGAAUCCUUUUACUAAAAGUAAUGAGCUACAGUGAUGACCAACCAUUCCAGUAAGUUCUAAGAGUUGCUAUUAUACUUUCUCACUAUGCCAGCAUGAUGACUUAAUUGUAAUGACUUAGAAAAGUAAUUGUUUUAAAAUCCAUGUGUUACAGUUCAUAAAUACCAAGGCUGCAUUCUCCCAAAAUAACAAGUUGGUUUAAGAAAAUAUUACCACUCAUGGGGCUGGUUUGCUUUUCACUCAGGCUGAUUUCACUUAUAUUUAAUUCUGUUCUGAUCCUUCUAAAUAUCUGCUUUUCAUGCAUUAGUUCAGGGGUGGCCAACCUCCAGCACAAGUGCCACAAGUUCAACAGGCAGCCUGUGUGUGGCAGGUGGUAGAUUGGGGAAGGGACAGGCAGCAGGGCUAUAGAUGGGGCAGGGAGCAGAAAGCAGGGUAGCAGGUCAGGCAGGGGACGGGGAUCGGACAGACACAAGAAGGGCUAAUUUGUGGCACUCUUGCCAAAAAGGUUGGCCCCCCACACUAACUGUCCCUCUGCACGCUUUCAUGAGAGCAUAUGCAAACUGGCAGAAUGUGGCUGGGAUCCAGAACUGAAUUGAGGAAGCUGGGACGCUAGAAGCCCAGUGAGAAGAUCUGUUCUGUUGUGUCUGAUACCUUCCUCACUGCCCAGUGUUAGGCAAGGCAGAGUUUCCUUUGCAGAAGUAUUGUUCUAGGUAGGGUCUCCCUACCCAGGUCCUUGGAAUGCUCAAGCCUCAUUGCUUGGAGGUGGGAAGGAUUUCACCCUACUACACAGCCAGUUAGUCUGUGCCAUCCUACCCUACCUUCUGCCUGACUUCAUACUAACAUGGCUAACCACUUCUCUACCCUUGUUGGCUUGUACUGGAUGCUCUGGAUACUUCUUGAAAUAAAGCCUGGGCAGUGGGGGAGAAGGAUUUAAAA
rnacentral:lncRNA from 1 species